rnacentral:misc_RNA from 1 species
GGAUUUUUGAGAGUAUGGAGAUGAGGGAUACAGUGUCUUGGAAUUCAAUGAUAAUGGCAUAUUGUCACAAGGGUGAUAUUGUUGUGGCACGGAGGUUAUUGAAUUUGAUGCCUCUUGAAGGUGUAGAACCAGGUUUGAUUACCUGGAAUAUAUUGAUAGCAAGCUAUAAUCAGCUAGGCAGGUGUGAUGAGGCCCUGGAGGUUAUGAAGGAGAUGG